ACGGGUGAGUAAUGUCUGGGAAACUGCCUGAUGGAGGGGGAUAACUACUGGAAACGGUAGCUAAUACCGCAUAACGUCGCAAGACCAAAGAGGGGGACCUUCGGGCCUCUUGCCAUCAGAUGUGCCCAGAUGGGAUUAGCUAGUAGGUGGGGUAAUGGCUCACCUAGGCGACGAUCCCUAGCUGGUCUGAGAGGAUGACCAGCCACACUGGAACUGAGACACGGUCCAGACUCCUACGGGAGGCAGCAGUGGGGAAUAUUGCACAAUGGGCGCAAGCCUGAUGCAGCCAUGCCGCGUGUAUGAAGAAGGCCUUCGGGUUGUAAAGUACUUUCAGCGAGGAGGAAGGCAUUGAGGUUAAUAACCUCAGUGAUUGACGUUACUCGCAGAAGAAGCACCGGCUAACUCCGUGCCAGCAGCCGCGGUAAUACGGAGGGUGCAAGCGUUAAUCGGAAUUACUGGGCGUAAAGCGCACGCAGGCGGUCUGUCAAGUCGGAUGUGAAAUCCCCGGGCUCAACCUGGGAACUGCAUUCGAAACUGGCAGGCUAGAGUCUUGUAGAGGGGGGUAGAAUUCCAGGUGUAGC
rnacentral:rRNA from 1 species